rnacentral:antisense_RNA from 1 species
GGUGAGGGGAUUUAUCCCCGAUGGACUGCGUAGCGGUCCCAGCUUUUUUGGGGGUGCUUCGUGCCACAUCGGGGAUAAAUCCCCUCACU